rnacentral:rRNA from 1 species
UACGAAGGGUGCUAGCGUUGUUCGGAAUCACUGGGCGUAAAGCGCACGUAGGCGGGUCCUUAAGUCAGGGGUGAAAUCCUGGAGCUCAACUCCAGAACUGCCCUUGAUACUGAGGAUCUCGAGUUCGGGAGAGGUGAGUGGAACUGCGAGUGUAGAGGUGAAAUUCGUAGAUAUUCGCAAGAACACCAGUGGCGAAGGCGGCUCACUGGCCCGAUACUGACGCUGAGGUGCGAAAGCGUGGGGAGCAAACAGG